UCAUGACAAACAUUUUAAGGGAUAUUAGUAGUACACAAUAUGGCCUCAACACGUUUCCUCACUUCUUUUAUUUUUAAAGCGCAUAGAGAUAUAUAUAAACCCAUUGUAUCUAAUCGGAAUUUAUUUACCAGUAAAUUAAACUAUGCCACAUCUAUUUCAGGAGCUGAAGUUUCUAGUAUACUCGAAGAGCGCAUUUUAAGUCACACAUCUAAGAUUAAUUUAGAAGAGACGGGUCAAGUUUUAUCGAUAGGUGAUGGAAUUGCACGUGUUUAUGGAUUAAAAAAUAUUCAAGCAGAAGAGAUGGUUGAAUUUUCCUCUGGACUUAAAGGCAUGGCUCUCAAUUUAGAACCAGAUAAUGUUGGGGUAGUUGUAUUUGGAAAUGAUAAGCUUAUCAAAGAAGGAGAUAUUGUCAAAAGAACUGGGGCUAUUGUUGAUGUACCAGUUGGUGAAGCCUUGUUAGGGAGGGUAGUUGAUGCUUUAGGCAACCCAAUAGACGGGCGAGGUCCAAUAGCUACGACAAAACGUAUAAGGGUUGGAGUUAAAGCUCCAGGCAUUAUCCCUCGAAUAUCGGUCCGAGAACCUAUGCAAACUGGCAUUAAAGCAGUGGACAGCUUGGUGCCCAUAGGAAGAGGUCAGAGGGAGCUUAUUAUAGGCGACCGACAGACUGGCAAAACUGCCAUAGCGAUUGAUACUAUCAUAAACCAAAAGCGUUUUAAUGAAGGUAGCGAUGAGUCCAAAAAAUUAUAUUGCAUAUACGUGGCCAUAGGCCAGAAAAGAUCCACGGUUGCCCAACUAGUUAAAAGGCUUACUGACGCCGGGGCUAUAAAGUACACCAUAGUAGUUAGUGCUACUGCCUCUGACGCUGCCCCGCUUCAAUAUUUGGCACCUUACAGUGGGUGCAGUAUGGGAGAAUUUUUCAGAGACAGUGGAAGGCACGCUUUAAUUAUAUACGAUGAUCUUUCCAAACAAGCCGUAGCUUACCGUCAAAUGUCACUAUUACUCCGUCGACCUCCAGGUCGGGAAGCUUAUCCAGGAGACGUUUUCUAUUUACAUUCACGCUUACUGGAGCGGGCCGCAAAAAUGAGGGACAGUCCAGAUGGAAAAACUAAAGGGGGUUCCCUAACCGCUUUACCAGUCAUAGAAACCCAAGCAGGUGAUGUUAGUGCUUACAUACCUACUAACGUUAUCAGCAUAACAGACGGGCAGAUUUUCUUGGAGACUGAGCUCUUUUAUAAAGGUAUAAGACCGGCGAUUAAUGUGGGCUUAUCUGUUAGUAGGGUUGGGUCAGCGGCUCAAACCAAGUCUAUGAAACAAGUAGCUGGAUCGAUGAAGCUAGAGCUCGCUCAAUAUAGAGAGGUCGCAGCUUUUGCACAAUUUGGCUCUGAUCUUGACGCUUCGACACAACAGUUACUUAAUCGAGGUGUGCGACUCACUGAAUUGCUAAAACAGGGACAAUAUGUCCCCAUGGCCAUAGAAGAUCAAGUCGCUAUAAUAUACACUGGUGUCAAGGGAUUCAUCGAUAAGCUAGACCCUUCAAAAAUAACCAAGUUCGAACGGGAAUUCAGUGCCCACUUUAAGAGUGUUCACUCAGAUUUGCUUAAAAGGAUCAAGGAGGAAGGAAAGAUAGCAGAUGAUGUAGAUGCGGCUAUGCGUAAGAUAGUAUCUGAAUUUGUGGCUCAAUUUACGGCUAGCGAAGCUGUUAUUACUAAAAGUGCUAAAGCUGGAGCUGAGAAAACCGAAGCUAAGCCUUAAACUUAGGGUCGCCAAUUAUGCUAUUGUACUUUACUAUAUUCACAUUUUGCGUUUUAAUCUAAUUAUCAACGAAGGUCUAAAUUUAAAACCACAUGAACUAACUUCACCAAAAUUAAAAUACCACGUAUGGAUCGUGUGAC